rnacentral:lncRNA from 1 species
GUCCCUCGUCUAACCUACGUUCUUCCGUAGGUGAGGUUUACUCUUGAGUACGUCCCUCGUCUAACCUACGUUCUUCCGUAGGUGAGGUUUACUCUUGGAUGCUUGCCCCUCUGUCUACAUUUUUGUAGAAUGGGGUGUGUGUUUAGCCGACGUGUUCCCCGUCUAACCUACGUUCCUCCGUAGGUGGGGUUUACUUUUGCCGAUGUGUUCCCCGUCUAAACUACGUUCUUCCGUAGGUGAGGUUCACUCUUGAGUACGUCCCUCGUCUAACACUACGUUUCCGUAGGUGAGGUUCACUUUUUUGCCGCUGUGUUCCCCGUCUAACCUACGUUCUUCCGUAGGUGGGGUUCACUCUUGCCGCUGUGUUCCCCGUCUAACCUACGUU